rnacentral:misc_RNA from 1 species
AAUUCUCAAAACCCUUUCUUUUUAAGGAUUUUGGACUUGGAGGCUUUUUUGCUGGCUUCACAUUGAAGCGAGCUCCUCUUAAAUGGAUUAGUGGGGUCUGCUUUGCCGAUCCUUGACGUGAUAAGAUGCUUCUACGUCUCGGGUUUGGCAUCGUGUACCUGCUUCUAACCGUCUCAUCGACAAUGAUGGCGCUCCGGUCACCACCGUUUCAUCGGUGGGAGGCUUGACCCACAAAAAUAAAA